GUAGGUGGCAAGCGUUGUCCGGAAUUAUUGGGACGUAAAGCGCGCGCAGGCGGGUCCUUUAAAGGUCUGAUGUGAAAGCCCACGGGCUCAACCGUGGAGGGUCAUUGGAAACUGGGGGACUUGAGUACAGAAGAGGAAAGCGGAAUUCCAAGUGUAGCGGUGAAAUGCGUAGAGAUUUGGAGGAACACCAGUGGCGAAGGCGGCUUUCUGGUCUGUAACUGACGCUGAGGCGCGAAAGCGUGGGGAGCAAACAGGAUUAGAUACCCUGGUAGUCCACGCCGUAAACGAUGAGUGCUAAGUGUUAGGGGGUUUCCGCCCCUUAGUGCUGCAGCUAACGCAUUAAGCACUCCGCCUGGGGAGUACGGCCGCAAAGGCUG
rnacentral:rRNA from 1 species